AGGGAAGGGGAGGGGCUAAAGAGAAGGGGAGGGUCUACAGGGAGGGGGAGGGGUCUCUGUGGGAUUUGGGGUCCCUUUGGGGGCCCCACCCCCACCGCCCCUCCCCCUUCCAGGCCCCCCCCCGGAGGCUGUUCCCGCCGGCGCCGCCCCGCCCCCCCCGGAGCUGGAGCCCCCCCCGGGCCCCCCCGAGCCGCCCCCCCCGGCCCCUCCCCCUACAAGGGGCCCCCCCCCGCCCCCCAAAAACGCCCCGAGGGCGCCGCCCCUCCCCCUCCCCGCCGGAAACGGGCCGAGAGCGCUGAGGGUGGGGGAGGGGCCCGGCCCGCCCCCGCCCCUCCCCCCACCCCUCCAAAAACCCAAAUCCCCCCCCAAAACCCAGCAGGUGGGGGAGGGGCGGGGGGUGGGGGAGGGGUGGUGGCCAGCCUGGUGCUGGGGGGGGGGAGGGGGCGGCGGGGGGGGGCCGGGUCCUCCCCCUCCCCCCCCCUCGGUGGCGCUGCUGCCCCACCCCCACCCCCACCCCCCCGUGCAGCUCCUGGCGCAGCCCCCGGGCGGGGGAGGGGCAGCGGCGGGUGGGGGAGGGGCAGGGGCAGGGGGGGGGCACGGCCCCUCCCCCGCCCCCCAACGGGCCCCUCCCCCUCGGCAUCACGCAGGUGCAGUACAUCCUGCCCACCCUGCCCCUCCCCCACGGCAAAGGCCCCGCCCCCGGCCCCGCCCCCAGCCAGGGCCCCGCCCCCGGCCCCGCCCCCUCCCUGCACUUCGCCCUGCCCCCGCCCCAGAACGGGAAAGCCCCGCCCACAACGGCGGGGGGGGCCGGAGGCUCCGCCCCCAAAGGUACGGCGGGUGGGGGAGGGGCUUGGGGUGGGGGCGGGGCUCUGGGGGGUGGGGCGGGGCCUCAAAUGGGGGGAGGGGCCUCAAAAUGGGGGAGGGGUCUGUGGUUGUGGGCGUGGUCUGAGGUUGGAGGCGGGGUCACAAAUGGGGCGGGGUCUCAAAUUGGGGGUGUGGUCUCAAAUUGGGGGAGGGGCCUCAGAUUGGGGGAGGGGUCUCAGAUGGGGCGGGGCCUCAAAUUGGGGGCGGGGUCUGUGGUUAUGGGCGUGGUCUGAGGUUGAGGCGGGGUCACAAAUGGGGCGGGGUCUCAAGCAUGGGGCGGAGCCUGAUGUUUGGGGCGGGGUCUUUUUGAGUGGGCGGAGUUUCAGAUUGGGGGCGGGGCCUCAGAUUGGGGCGGGGACUAUUGGGGGCAGAGCCUUGAUUUGGGGCGGAGCUUUUGGGAUGGGGCGGGGCUUCAAAUUGUGGGUGUGGUCUAACAUUGUGGGCGGGGUUUAA
rnacentral:lncRNA from 1 species